GGAAGGCAGAGGCUUAACCCACUGAGCCAUCCAGGAGCUGGGCAAGUAGAGGGGAUCAAAGCAGAAAGGGGAAAAGGGAAAGACAAAAACCCUGGGAAAAGGUAAGGAUGCAGAUUUGCCCAGGGACUUGACUGAGCCCUAGUUGCCCCUAGCCUCAGGUCCCUGAAGGACACAAGGAGAAAAACAAAACCACAAAAUUUCAGUAAGAGUAAUGGCAUUUUAUCAUGUCAGUGCCCACCCUUCACGGUGAUGCCUCUCACACACAGGCCCAGAAGAGGUCUGGUUGGUGCUGGAAACUCACAGGUGGGUCCGGACGCUCCUGAGAAAGAGCCCAGGGCAGAGUUCACACCUGUGUGUCAGCCCUUGAGGUCCACGGCACCAGGCUGGCACUGGGGUCUACUGGUGGUCCUCUGCCUGAGGCACCUUCCACACUGUGGACAGGAAUAAGACAGCUCACCUGUGUGAGUCAGCAGGUAGCAUGAGAGGUGCUAGCUGUGGCAGAAACAGGUGCCACACUGGGCACGGACAAAGGCUUGUCUCCAGAAUGCACUGAGUCAGGUGAAAGGUCAUGGCAGAGUGUGCCUGCUCUCGGGCAGGUGCUGUGUGAGUACAAGUCACUGAGGCUGGGUCUACAGUUGGGGCUUGGGAAAGGCCUGUCCACCUGGAUGCUUUGACCCCAGGCUCAGACACUAAGCUAGUGUCCCUGGAGGCUCACAACAACUCCCCAAUAGACUCCUUCUGCUGGUUUCUUCCAAAUACAUCACUUUUUCUGAGUGGCCCUUUGAAACACAGGAGAUUCAAAAUUUAAUUUUGGUCCAGUUCAGUCAAACUCAACUAAAUGUUCAGGUGACAGAAUCAACUUUCACAAGUGCAGAUGGGUGCUUAGCCCCUGGAAGCACCCACCUAGAUUGUGUUGACCAAUUGAGGGGGUCACAGGAAGUCAAGGACAUUCCCACUUCAGGACCAACCCAAGGAGAUACCAUCAACCAGAGGAACAGCUGUUACAAGGCACAGCCACUUAAGAGACAGAAAGGUGAACUGCUUCCAACGUAAACUUUAAUUCAUACACUGCCACUGACCUAGAGAUUGGAUAAUUUGUGUAGUGUGACCUGACCUUGGGAAUCCUGGAUGCCUCAGUCAAUUAGUGAAAAAGAGAAGGUCAAGAUUCUAGUCUCCAGUGGGUAUCAUAAAUUCAAGCCAGCAGAACACAGUAAGGGACAUACAGAUGGUCUUUCUUUUUCUUUUGUUCUUUUCUCUUUUUAAAAGAUUUUACUUAUU